UAGAGGGUCAUGGUGGUCAUGAAGGUCAUGACCACACCCUAUAGGCUAGGUGCCUAAAAAAUGUUCAAAGACAAUUAAAUUUGCAAAGACCCAAGAUUGUUGAUUUUGGCAUGGUUAGACACUACUAUGAAGGUGUGACUUAAUUCAACAGUCAAUACUCGUGUAGUCAAUAUCAAGUAAUUGUUAGUAACAUUGCUAAUAAGGCGCUCGCAUGAGGAUCAUUUUUACUUGCAUGAAGAUUGUGAAAGUGGUUCAUGAAACAUUUGUUAGAUGUUUUUUGAUGUUUGAUAUUUAGAAUUAAUUUGACAUUGAUUAGAUAUGUGUUUUCAAACAUUUGGAAUAUGUUUGGAUAAUGAUCAAACUUUUUAUUGAA